UGGGGAAUAUUGCACAAUGGGCGCAAGCCUGAUGCAGCAACGCCGCGUGAGGGACGACGGCCUUCGGGUUGUAAACCUCUUUUGGCAGGGAAGAAGCGAAAGUGACGGUACCUGCAGAAAAAGCACCGGCUAACUACGUGCCAGCAGCCGCGGUGAUACGUAGGGUGCAAGCGUUGUCCGGAAUUAUUGGGCGUAAAGAGCUCGUAGGCGGUUUGUCGCGUCUGCUGUGAAAACCCGAGGCUCAACCUCGGGCCUGCAGUGGGUACGGGCAAACUAGAGUGCGGUAGGGGAGAUUGGAAUUCCUGGUGUAGCGGUGGAAGGCGCAGAUAUCAGGAGGAACACCGAUGGCGAAGGCAGAUCUCUGGGCCGUAACUGACGCUGAGGAGCGAAAGCAUGGGGAGCGAACA
rnacentral:rRNA from 1 species